rnacentral:rRNA from 1 species
AUACGGGGGGGGCGAGCGUUAUUCGGAAUUACUGGGCGUAAAGGGCGCGUAGGCGGCCUGGGAAGUCUUGGGUGAAAGCCCUCAGCUCAACUGGGGAAUGGCCUGAGAAACCACUGGGCUGGAGUGCUGGAGGGGGAAGCGGAAUUCCCGGUGGAGCGGUGAAAUGCGUAGAUAUCGGGAGGAACACCAGAGGCGAAGGCGGCUUCCUGGACAGACACUGACGCUGAGGCGCGAAAGCUAGGGGAGCAAACGGGAUUAGAAACCCGGGUAGUCC